GGACGGGAAUAACCUCGGGAAACUGAGUAUAAUGCCCGAUAGAACAUUAUGCCUGGAAUGGUUUAUGUUCCAAAUGAUUUAUCGCCGUAGGAUGGGACUGCGGCCUAUCAGUUUGUUGGUGAGGUAAUGGCCCACCAAGACUAUUACAGGUACGGGCUCUGAGAGGAGUAGCCCGGAGAUGGGUACUGAGACACGGACCCAGGCCCUAUGGGGCGCAGCAGGCGAGAAAACUUUGCAAUGUGCGAAAGCACGACAAGGUUAAUCCGAGUGGUUUCUGCUAAAGGAACCUUUUGUUAGUCCUAGAAACACUAACGAAUAAGGGGUGGGCAAGUUCUGGUGUCAGCCGCCGCGGUAAAACCAGCACCUCAAGUGGUCAGGAUGAUUAUUGGGCCUAAAGCAUCCGUAGCCGGCUCUAUAAGUUUUCGGUUAAAUCUGUACGCUCAACGUACAGGCUGCCGGGAAUACUGCAGAGCUAGGGAGUGGGAGAGGUAGACGGUACUCGGGAGGAAGGGGUAAAAUCCUUUGAUCUCUCGAUGACCACCUGUGGCGAAGGCGGUCUACCAGAACACGUCCGACGGUGAGGGAUGAAAGCUGGGGGAGCAAACCGGAUUAGAUACCCGGGUAGUCCCAGCUGUAAACUAUGCAAACUCAGUGAUGCAUUGACUUGUGGUCAAUGCAGUGCUGCAGGGAAGCCGUUAAGUUUGCCGCCUGGGAAGUACGUACGCAAGUAUGAAACUUAAAGGAAUUGGCGGGGGAGCACCACAAGGGGUGAAGCCUGCGGUUCAAUUGGAUUCAACGCC
rnacentral:rRNA from 1 species